rnacentral:rRNA from 1 species
CCUAGGGGGGGCAGCAGGCGCGAAAACUUUACAAUGCUGGAAACAGCGAUAAGGGGACCUCGAGUGCCAGGUUACAAAUCUGGCUGUCGUGAUGCCUAAAAAGCAUUGCAUAGCAAGGGCCGGGCAAGACCGGUGCCAGCCGCCGCGGUAACACCGGCGGCUCGAGUGGUAACCGUUAUUAUUGGGUCUAAAGGGUCUGUAGCCGGCCGGAUAAGUCUCUUGGGAAAUCUGGCAGCUUAACUGUCAGGCUUUCAGGGGAUACUGUCUGGCUCGAGGCCGGGAGAGGUGAGAGGUACUUCAGGGGUAGGGGUGAAAUCUUGUAAUCCUUGAAGGACCACCAGNGGCGAAGGCGUCUCACCAGAACGGACCUGACGGCAAGGGACGAAAGCUAGGGGCACGAACCGGAUUAGAUACCCGGGUAGUCCUAGCCGUAAACGAUGCCCGCUAGGUGUCACGACGGUCGUGAAUCGUCGUGGUGCCGUAGGGAAGCCGCGAAGCGGGCCACUUGGGAAGUACGGCCGCAAGGCUGAAACUUAAAGGAAUUGGCGGGGGCGCACCACAAGGGGUGCGGCGUGCGGUUUAAUUGGAUUCAACGCCGGAAAUCUUACCGGGACCGACAGCAAUAUGAAGGCCAGGCUGAAGACUUUGCCGGAUUAGCUGAGCGCCGGUGCAUGGCC